rnacentral:rRNA from 1 species
UACGAAGGGGGCUAGCGUUGUUCGGAUUUACUGGGCGUAAAGCGCACGUAGGCGGAUUGGUCAGUUAGGGGUGAAAUCCCAGAGCUCAACUCUGGAACUGCCUUUAAUACUGCCAGUCUAGAGUCCGGAAGAGGUGAGUGGAACUCCUAGUGUAGAGGUGGAAAUUCGUAGAUAUUAGGAAGAACACCAGUGCGAAGGCGGCUCACUGGACUC